GGACGAACGCUGGCGGCGUGCCUAAUACAUGCAAGUCGAGCGGAUCUUUUCCUUCGGGGAAAGGUUAGCGGCGGACGGGUGAGUAACACGUGGGUAACCUGCCCAUAAGACUGGGAUAACAUUCGGAAACGAAUGCUAAUACCGGAUACGCGAAUUGGUCGCAUGGCCGAAUCGGGAAAGGCGGAGCAAUCUGCCACUUAUGGAUGGACCCGCGGCGCAUUAGCUAGUUGGUGAGGUAACGGCUCACCAAGGCGACGAUGCGUAGCCGACCUGAGAGGGUGAUCGGCCACACUGGGACUGAGACACGGCCCAGACUCCUACGGGAGGCAGCAGUAGGGAAUCUUCCGCAAUGGACGAAAGUCUGACGGAGCAACGCCGCGUGAGUGAUGAAGGUUUUCGGAUCGUAAAGCUCUGUUGCCAGGGAAGAACGCUUACGAGAGUAACUGCUCGUAAGGUGACGGUACC
rnacentral:rRNA from 1 species